rnacentral:lncRNA from 1 species
UUUGGAUAAUGAAUAAUGAGGAUCCUAAUGUACUAUUUGCAUUUUACAAAUAUAUAGAAGAUACUUAAGAAUUAAAGUACAACUUAAUCUGCAAUAACUAAUUCAUUAUAACUCUUUAAUAUGAAUUUGGAUACCCUGUUAAGCCUGCACAGAUCAUAAGAAGAAUUUCAAAUUCUUUGGCACCGUCCCUUGAUGAUCUUUGCUGGCUGGACACAGAAUCUAUAAUCUUAGAAAUAUGUUUUUAAAAUAUAUUUUCAAUAAUUAAGGAGCUUGACUCAUCUGCAUUAAGUACAAGUAGGGACUCCCCUUUAAGCACCGACUCUUGGUGCUUUCUGCAGAUAAGUCAUAUUAAAUAUCCUUUAUUAAAUAAACUUUGUUAUUUGCAGUAUACCUCAUAGUCAAAUGUGGGAGUGCUUAAUUG